GCUCCCGUGGUGUAGUGGUUAUCACGUCUGCUUUACACGCAGAAGGUCCCAGGUUCGAGCCCUGGUGGGAGCA
rnacentral:tRNA from 1 species